AAAUUAUGGUUCGACACGCUUUAAUUCUUUCAUGAUGCAACAUAAAUAUGACAAACACAACGCAGAUUAUCCCAAACGUUAAUACCAACACUUUUCCCCAGAACUGGGAGUAAGGGUCAUACGGGAUAUCUGAAGCAUCUGAUGUUGAAACCAAUUGAUCAUUAGCCAUCACAAGGUCUAUGGCUGAUAUUUCUUCCCCCAUUUUUGUUUGAUUAUAAUUUUGAACGUGUAGUGUUCCCAGUAGAAUUUCAAUUGCCACGGCUCAAUUAAGACUGAACGUCAGAAAUUUACAACAAUCCAGUGAACUCACUGAUAUAGCAAGGCAAUUAUUAUUCUUCCAAUUUAAUUUUACUCAAUUACUUUGAGGUUUGUAAAAGUGAGGUUAAAACUGUUGUAAAAAACAAAGAUAAGCCAUAAAGCUUCCCGUCUCCUUCCCCAGAGUCUGGAUUUUUUUGCGAUAUUUACGGUACGAUACGGCAGUCACCGGAAGCAUCCAAAAGCUGACCAUGUAUAAUUAUAUGCUUUGAUUUCAGAUCAUCCGUGCGCCUAUGUAUUAACUGUGUUGUAUAAAUUUAUUUCACAAUCGGCAAAUUAGUUAUGAAUUAAUUACUUUUGGUAUUUCUGCUCUUGGUUAUGCAGCGUAAGUGAAUUUGACGAUCUCCGUUUAAAUAAUGAGCUACUACGAGGUGAUCGUUAAAUUGUAAACAAAAGAUUGGUUUAGUAUGUCGCUUGAAUGGAAACUGCAAAGU